UGUAAAUGUUUUGAGGUUGGUAAAUGC
rnacentral:piRNA from 1 species